AGUGAACGCUGGCGGUAGGCCUAACACAUGCAAGUCGAACGGCAGCACAGUAAGAGCUUGCUCUUACGGGUGGCGAGUGGCGGACGGGUGAGGAAUACAUCGGAAUCUACUUUUUCGUGGGGGAUAACGUAGGGAAACUUACGCUAAUACCGCAUACGACCUACGGGUGAAAGCAGGGGAUCUUCGGACCUUGCGCGAUUGAAUGAGCCGAUGUCGGAUUAGCUAGUUGGCGGGGUAAAGGCCCACCAAGGCGACGAUCCGUAGCUGGUCUGAGAGGAUGAUCAGACACACUGGAGGUGGAAGACGAUCCGGACCCCUACUAGCAGGAGAAGUGGUGAAUGUUUGACAAGGGGCGCAAGCCUGAUCCAGGCAUACCGCGUGGGUGAAGAAGGCCUUCUGGUUGUAAAGACCGAUUGUUGGGAGAGAAAAACAGGGGGUGAAUACCACGCUGUUCUGACGGGACCCAAAGAAUAAGCACCGGCUAACUUCGUG
rnacentral:rRNA from 1 species